rnacentral:rRNA from 1 species
UACGUAGGCGGAAAAUUAAGUCAGUAGUGAAAUCCUGCAGCUCAACUGUAGAACUGUUAUUGAUACUGGUUUUCUUGAAUGUAGUUGAGGUAGGCGGAAUGUGUAAUGUAGCGGUGAAAUGCUUAGAUAUUACACAGAACACCGAUCGCGAAGGCAGCUUACUAAGCUACGAUUGACACUGAGGUACGAAAGCGUGGGGAGCGAACAGGAUUAGAUACCCUGGUAGUCC